AGUGAGUGUGCGCAGUGCAGUGCAAGAAAAAAAUUUCAUGCUGCAGAACGCAGAUAUCGGCAACGAAUAUUUCCAUCUAAAAUGGAUGAAAAUACAGACUACAGACCCGGGAAUAGUCGUUUUUCAUAAACUUUUCAAAUUCAAUUUCAAUAUUUUUACGCAGUUCCUGACUCGAUCUGACUAAGAAUGCAGCAAGUGCAUUUGCGUGUAAGACAUCUGCGUCCCAGCGUGCUCGCCGCAAUUUUAGCUCCCCACGCCAGGAAAGCCGAGUGGUACCGAAUUAAUCAUCAUGCCUUUCGUUGCGAAUAUUCUCCGAGCUACGCUGGCAAUUCAUGAGUUGCCUAAAGACUAUACAGGUCUUUUUUUAGGAUGUAGCAACACCGAUUGCCCUUCCAACAAAGCUCUCUUGAAUGAGUGUUGUGACAAUCCGUGCGUUGUGAAAAUUCAUGCAUUGGACAACUCGAAUUCUCGACUCGAUUUACAAUCAUGUGCUUCUGAUCCACCUGGAUACAUCGGUGAUAUCGAUUCUGGCUGUACACCAGGUGUGAGAAAAAGCUCGUUACUGCUGAGGUUUGCGGACAACACAUUCAACAGUAGUUACCUAACGAUGAUAGAUGUUGACAUCAAAAUAAGGACUAUAGAGGUUAAAGGAGACAGGGUGAAGCUGUAAGUAUGGGACACCACAGGACAGGAGGAACUCAGGACAAUAACGUCAAUGUACUACAGGGAUGUCAAACGAUGGCUACACAAGAUUGACCACAACUGCAAUACAGUCAAUAGGGUUCUCGUGGAUAACAAAAACGAUGCUUCUAACCAAAAAGUUGUACUGACCGAGGAUACUGAACGUUUUGCCACCCAAAUGAGUAUUUAACUCUUUGAGAUCUCUGCUAAAGGCAACAUCAAUGUUCAAGAGGCGAUCCAGAGUAAUUCGACGACGACGUCACUAUAACAGCGGCAGAGUUAUCGGCGACUCCAACGGCAAUGAGAACCGCGAGUGGUUGGACCGGUGGCUCAACGAGAUUCAAUCCAGAGCAAAAUGCAAAAGCCGCGACGACGGGGAAAAACGGAGCUCGAGGACGAGGGAGUUAUAGAAACAGGAGUCGGAGCGAGAGAAAACAAUACACGGAGACGACCUGAACGACGAGCCAACGAAUCCCAUUGUCGAGCGGAAAGACAGAGAGGAAAAAAAAUGAUAAAAAUGAUGCCAAGCACUAUGACACAUUACGAAAAAUGUAUUCACCUACGAGAAAGUCACCGAAAAUAAUACCGAUGGAUACUCCAGUUGAUGCGCAAGUGAUAGACGCGUCAGUGGGGGCAAUGGAAACUUGAGAUCGACAACUUUUUUCCUUUCGAUUCUAUGAAUAUGGAUUGAUCUGUAUUUUUCAAUAAACUUGUAAUUCAUCGUA
rnacentral:lncRNA from 1 species